rnacentral:rRNA from 1 species
UUAGUUUUUGAAGUAUGGCCUGCCCGCUGACUUGAGUGUUGAAGGGCCGCGGUAUUUUGACCGUGCAAAGGUAGCAUAAUCAUUAGUUCUUUAAUUGUGAUCUGGAAUGAAUGGCUUGACGAGGCACAAGCUGUCUUAAUGUUGAAUGUUUUAUUGAAUUUGGUUUUUGAGUUAAAAUUCUUAGAUGUUUUUGUGGGACGAGAAGACCCUAUAGAGUUUAACAUUUGGUUUAUUUGUUUGUUUGUUGUUUGUUUGUUUUAUUGGUGAGUGGACUUUUUGUUUUGUUGGGGUGAUGGGAGGAAUAUAAUUAACUCCUCUUGAUUUUGGUUAUAUUGAUUUAUAUUUAUUUGAUCCAUUUAUUUUGAUUAUAAGAUUAAAUUACCUUAGGGAUAACAGCGUUAUCUUCCUUGAGAGUUCUUAUCGGCAGGGAGGUUUGCGACCUCGAUGUUGGAUUAAG